rnacentral:rRNA from 1 species
ACGGGGUGCAGCAGGCGCGAAACCUCCGCAAUGUGAGAAAUCGCGACGGGGGGAUCCCAAGUGCCAUUCUUAACGGGAUGGCUUUUCAUUAGUGUAAAGAGCUUUUGGAAUAAGAGCUGGGCAAGACCGGUGCCAGCCGCCGCGGUAACACCGGCAGCUCUAGUGGUAGCAAUUUUUAUUGGGCCUAAAGCGUCCGUAGCCGGUUUAAUAAGUCUCUGGUGAAAUCCUGCAGCUUAACUGUGGGAAUUGCUGGAGAUACUAUUAGACUUGAGACCGGGAGAGGUUAGAGGUACUCCCAGGGUAGAGGUGAAAUUCUGUAAUCCUGGGAGGACCGCCUGUUGCGAAGGCGUCUAACUGGAACGGUUCUGACGGUGAGGGACGAAAGUUAGGGGCGCGAACCGGAUUAGAUACCCGGGUAGUCCUAACUGUAAACGAUGCGGACUUGGUGUUGGGGUGGCUUUGAGCUGCUUCAGUGCCGAAGGGAAGCUGUUAAGUCCGCCGCCUGGGAAGUACGGUCGCAAGACUGAAACUUAA